GAUAAGAUGCCUGAUUAAAGGAUUAUUUUGAUAGAAUAAAUUAUGUGAAUAUAAUUACUCUUAUUA
rnacentral:tRNA from 1 species